CGCGCGCUCGAAAAGGAGCCUAAUGUCACUCCAAAAUUCUGCUCUUUUUUCAAGUUUCGAUCGAUCAAAACCCUAAUUCCUCGAUCCAAUGCUUUGAAACCAAAUUUACAGAUUCUUAAACCCUAAUUGAGUUCCUUUUGUGCCCUGUAUUCGAAUUGUUCUCGAAUCUGAACACACGCAAAGGAUAGAAACAAAAACCCUAAAAUUUCUUAAGCACUGGCUAUGGACGCCAAGGACAUUCUAGGAUUGCCCAAAACUCCAUUGCCAAUAACGCAAGAAAAAAAAUCCCAACCCAAGAAGGACUCCCAGAGAAAACCCGAUGGCAUUUCCCGCGAGGUUUAUGCGCUUACUGGCGGCUUGGCAC
rnacentral:misc_RNA from 1 species